GCCAGCAGCCAUAUAAUUCUGCAACUCACUACUGGCAGCCCACUGAAGCUCAGCAGGUGUGAGCCUGGUCAGUACCUUGAUGGGUGACCUCCUGGGAAAAACUAAGGUUGCUGCUGGAA
rfam:Lepisosteus oculatus linkage group LG21, whole genome shotgun sequence.